AACGUAGGUGGCGAGCGUUAUCCGGAUUUACUGGGCGUAAAGGGUGUGCAGGCGGGCUGUUAAGUGGUGUAUGAAAUAUCCCGGCUCAACCGGGAAGGGUUAUGCCAGACUGGCAGUCUAGAGAGCGAGAGAGGGACGUGGAAUUCUGGGUGUAGUGGUGAAAUGCGUAGAGAUCCGGAGGAACCCCAGAGGCGAAGGCGGCGUCCUGGCUCGCAUCUGACGCUCAGACACGACAGCAUGGGGAGCGAACGGG
rnacentral:rRNA from 1 species